rnacentral:rRNA from 1 species
GGAUAAGCUAUUAAGAGCUAACGGUGGAUGCCUUGGCAUCGGAAGGCGAUGAAGGACGCGGUAAGCUGCGAUAAGCUUCGGGGAGCUGCUAACAGGCUUUGAUCCGGAGAUUUCCGAAUGGGGAAACCCGUCAGGAUUCAUAUCCUGUCAUUGUAUACUGAAUACAUAGGUAUACAAGGCGAACGUGGGGAACUGAAACAUCUUAGUACCUGCAGGAGUAGAAAU